rnacentral:rRNA from 1 species
UGGGGAAUCUUGGACAAUGGGGGCAACCCUGAUCCAGCGAUGCCGCGUGGGUGAAGAAGGCCUUCGGGUUGUAAAGCCCUUUAGGCCGGGAAGAAGUUUAUGCCAUGAACAGUGGUGUAGAUUGACGGUACCGGCAGAAUAAGCACCGGCAAACUCUGUGCCAGCAGCCGCGGUAAUACAGAGGGUGCGAGCGUUAAUCGGAGUUACUGGGCGUAAAGGGCGCGUAGGCGGUGACAUGGGUGGCAUGUGAAAGCCCUGGGCUUAACCUAGGAAGUGCAUGCCAAACUAUGUUACUGGAGUAUGGGAGAGGGUGGCGGAAUUUCCGGUGUAGCGGUGAAAUGCGUAGAGAUCGGAAGGAACGUCGAUGGCGAAGGCAGCCACCUGGCCCAAUACUGACGCUGAGGCGCGAAAGCGUGGGGAGCGAACA